UAGGGAAUAUUAGUAAUGGGCGAAAGCCUGAACUAGCAACACCGCGUGUGCGAAGAAGGCCUUCGGGUUGUAAAGCACUUUUUGAGAGGAUGAGGAAGGACGGUACUCUCAGAAUAAGUCUCGGCUAACUACGUGCCAGCAGCCGCGGUAACACGUAGGAGGCAAACGUUAUCCGGAUUUACUGGGCGUAAAGCGCGUGUAGGUGGUUUGGUAAGUAGAGCGUGAAAGCUCCUGGCUCAACUGGGCGGAAAGCGCGCGUAGGUGGUGUGGUAAGUAGAGCGUGAAAGCGCCUGGCUCAACUGGGUAAGGGCGUUCGAAACUGCCGGACUAGAGGAUGGGAGGGGGAGGUGGAAUUCCGGGUGUAGCGGUGGAAUGCGCAGAUAUCCGGAGGAACACCAGUGGCGAAAGCGGCCUCCUGGACCACUCCUGACACUCAGACGCGAAAGCUAGGGUAGCAAACG
rnacentral:rRNA from 1 species